rnacentral:rRNA from 1 species
AGCGAACGCUGGCGGCAGGCCUAACACAUGCAAGUCGAACGGAUCCUUCGGGAUUAGUGGCGGACGGGUGAGUAACACGUGGGAACGUGCCCUUUGGUUUGGAACAACUCUGGGAAACUUGAGCUAAUACCGGAUGUGCCCUUCGGGGGAAAGAUUUAUCGCCAUUGGAGCGGCCCACGUCUGAUUAGCCAGUUGGUGAGGUAAAGGCUCACCAAGGCUACGAUCAGUAGCUGGUCUGAGAGGAUAAUCAACCACAUUGGGGCUGAGACACGGCCCAAACUCCUACGGGAGGCAGCAGUGGGGAAUCUUGCGCAAUGGGCGAAAGCCUGACGCAGCCAUGCCGCGUGAAUGAUGAAGGUCUUAGGAUUGUAAAAUUCUUUCACCGGGGACGAUAAUGGCGGUACCCGGAGAAGAAGCCCCGGCUAACUUCGUGCCAGCCGCCGCGGUAAUAC